GCAGACGGGAGAUGAGGAGCUGGGAGGAUGGUGCCGGGAGGCUGCCGCGAAGGAGACGCGCUCUUCACGCUAUUCCUGGGCCGCCGGCCGCUGUAAACAAGGAAAAUUCUGCAGGGGGAUGGACUGCGUGAACUGUAAGCUGAAACCAUGAACGUACCAAUAGAAAACACGGACAUUUUAUUCUGUAAUUGCAGAGUGGAGAUGUUACAAAAACAUAAAAACCGGGGCCCAGAAGCCAUAAAGGAAACGACUGAUAACUUGACCACCUAAUUGAUCUUUACAUAUUCCACAAGCAAAGUCAAAUGACAAGAAGUGGGUAGGUGGGAACAUUUGUGCAAAUACAUGUGUACUAAGAAUAUUGAUAUCAGUAUUACUUAAGAACAGAACAUUUAGAAAACAGCCAUUGAGAGGGACCAGAUUUAUCUGCUUGAUUUCCGGAUUGUCCCUGCAUAAGGAUGCAGAGGAGCACAGAUGGUGGCAGAGUUCCUGAUAAUGAAACAACAGGUCAUCCCUUGGGCUCAGUGGCCUCCUUCAUCAUGUUACUGGCUGCAGUGGACUUAGGAAUGCGGUGAACACAGUGGAUAGAGAAUGACUCAGAACAGAAAUCUCUACGUCAGUGGGGAGCAGGCGUUUCAUCAGAGUAUCUGAUUGCUUGAAGAUGAUGAAGGAGGGUUUUGGGAUGCAGAAUUUUCUAAAUCCACCUGGAAGCCUGGGAAACUCUCCCUCCAGCCACAAGGCCCUGCCCCACACAUGCAGCAACCAAUCUGGAAAACCAGACCCCAACCUCUGCAGCAAUAGGACCUAAGGGUCAGGACUUGGUCAGUGACUCACAGCUUCGAAAUUUUCAGUCCUUUCCAUGUAGAACCAAAUGUGGGGAAGGCCAAAUAUGUUCCCCUAAGUAAUCACGUAAGACGCCCCUCUUCCUAUCAGCUUCUCUCAAGCCUCCCUGCAUCACAAGCUCUCGGGAGGACAUGGCUUCCUUUUUUUGCCACCACAAAGUGUCCCCACUCUUAUGUGUGCCCUGAGUCUCAGCCUGAUGUGAGUGAUGGUGGCUGACUCCCAUGCUCUAUAGACAAGUUCUGAGUAAAUAGUGCUUGUUCUCAU